GAUCAUGGCUCAGGAUGAACGCUAGCGGCAGGCUUAACACAUGCAAGUCGGAGGGGCAGCAUAAUGGAUAGCAAUAUCUAUGGUGGCGACCGGCGCACGGGUGCGUAACGCGUAUGCAACCUACCUUUAACAGGGGGAUAACGACUGAGAAAUUGGUACUAAUACCCCAUAAUAUCAUAGAAGGCAUCUUUUANGGUUGAAAAUUCCGAUGGUUAGAGAUGGGCAUGCGUUG
rnacentral:rRNA from 1 species